rfam:TPA: Bos taurus chromosome 8, whole genome shotgun sequence.
UGGCUUAGAUGGUAAAGCAUUUGCCUACAAUGCAGGAGACCCAGGUUCAAUCCCUGG